rnacentral:rRNA from 1 species
AAUGAACGUUGGCGGCGUGGAUUAGGCAUGCAAGUCGUACGCUUUAUGUAGCAAUACAUGAAGAGUGGCGUAAGGGAGAGUAAUGCAUGGUUAGCUACCCUGGGGACUGGGAUAGCGGCGGGAAACUGCCGGUAAUACCAGAUGAUAUCUUCGGAUCAAACGUGUAAAUCGGCCCUAGGAGGUGACCAUGUCCUAUCAGCUAGUUGGCGGUGUAACGGACCACCAAGGCUAAGACGGGUAUGGGGCGUGAGAGCGUGCCCCCACUCACUGGGACUGAGACACUGCCCAGACACCUACGGGUGGCUGCAGUCGAGAAUCUUCGGCAAUGGGCGCAAGCCUGACCGAGCUACGCCGCGUGCGGGAUGAAGGCCUUCGGGUUGUAAACCGCUGUCGUAGGGGAGGAAGGCUCCGUGCAGAACGGAGUUUGACCGAUCCUAGGAGGAAGGGCCGGCUAAUCUCGUGCCAGCCGCCGCGGUAACAC